GAUGAAGAACGUAGCGAAAUGCGAUAAGUAAUGUGAAUUGCAGAAUUCAGUGAAUCAUCGAAUCUUUGAACGCACAUUGUGCCCCCUGGUAUUCCGGGGGGCAUGCCUGUCCGAGCGUCAUUACAACCCUCAAGCUCAGCUUGGUGUUGGGCCCCGCCGCCCCGGCGGGCCCUAAAGUCAGUGGCGGUGCCGUCCGGCUCCGAGCGUAGUAAUUCUUCUCGCUCUGGAGGUCCGGUCGUGUGCUCGCCAGCAACCCCCAAUUUUUUUCAGGUUGACCUCGGAUCAGGUAGGGAUACCCGCUGAACUUAAGCAUAUCAAUAAGCGGAGGA
rnacentral:misc_RNA from 1 species